AGCGCUCCGAUGUGCAGUGACAAGGAGCACUACGAUUGAGCUUUCAGAAUAUUUGCGCUCCUUAAACGGGCCUGUUAUCUGUCUCUAAUCAACCAAUACCAAGUUUUAAAGAAAGGAUAUUACAACCGGAAACAUCUAAAUCAUACCACAGUGCCGACUGCAGGGGCGUAUCCCGAGCCCGUGAACGAAGCUCCAGCAGAACCCUACGGGAAUUAGGGCUAGCUCGGCAGUAACCUCUGCUGUUCAUCGGCCUAGAGGGCUAUCCCUCUCAACCUGUCUCGGAUGCCAGUGCCAGAUGCUUCGCAGUUUUCUCUUUGGGCAAGCUUGGAAUUAUUUACCGUGUAAUGCAUUACAGUUACUGUGGUACUUUACCAAAGUGCUCGCAAAGACCAGCUUGCUGUGUCCAUAUCUUGUUGAGUUUCAUGAGCCACAAGGAGUGCUCACGGCCUAUGUUGUGCCUACCAUGGACAUGGGCAGCACCACGCCAGAGGGUAGCUUGGCACUGUUUGGUGGUCAAGGGCCCGCGGGCCACCGAAUAGCUCGUGCGCGUGCCACAUGUGGCCCGCGUUUUUGACGCCCCUGUUUUACAGAAUACACUCCCGCAACGUUAAAGAUUUCAAGCACACAAGUAAGAAGAGGCUUCUGCUCUACCGCCAGCCAAUGCUGCAGAAGAUAAAGAAACAGUAGGGGUGUAGCAUGUCAAGCAACCAUGCAAUAAAUGCUUGGAAGGCAGA